AUUGAACGCUGGCGGUAUGCUUAACACAUGCAAGUCGAGCGGGGGAAGGUAGCUUGCUACCGGACCUAGCGGCGGACGGGUGAGUAAUGCUUAGGAAUCUGCCUAUUAGUGGGGGACAACAUCUCGAAAGGGAUGCUAAUACCGCAUACGUCCUACGGGAGAAAGCAGGGGAUCUUCGGACCUUGCGCUAAUAGAUGAGCCUAAGUCGGAUUAGCUAGUUGGUGGGGUAAAGGCCUACCAAGGCGACGAUCUGUAGCGGGUCUGAGAGGAUGAUCCGCCACACUGGGACUGAGACACGGCCCAGACUCCUACGGGAGGCAGCAGUGGGGAAUAUUGGACAAUGGGGGGAACCCUGAUCCAGCCAUGCCGCGUGUGUGAAGAAGGCCUUAUGGUUGUAAAGCACUUUAAGCGAGGAGGAGGCUACUCUAGUUAAUACCUAGGGAUAGUGGACGUUACUCGCAGAAUAAGCACCGGCUAACUCUGUGCCAGCAGCCGCGGUAA
rnacentral:rRNA from 1 species